GCGUCAGCGAGAGAGCGUCAGCGAGAGAGCGUCAGCGAGAGAGCGUCAGCGAGAGAGCGUUGCCGCAGGCAACGACCCGUAGGGCGAAGCGCGCAGCGCUGAGUAAUCCUUCCCCCACCACCA
rnacentral:sRNA from 1 species